CGCACUUCCUGUUUGUGGUGGAAAGAGUGAGGAGUGUUUGAAAAAGUUUGUUGUAGGAUUGUAUUGUACUUCCAGGCCUUGGACAGUUUGAAAGACGGGAGAACAGAUAAUGACCUGCUGUUUCCAGAGGUAGCAAGGGGAGAGCAAGGAGAUGGAGGUAGAGAGGGAGACAGUGGAAGAGGAAGUGUGACAGGGUACGUGGAUACGGGACACAGAAACCGAAGCUUUCACGUGGACCAGUCGAGCCGGGCCAGGCCAGAACGUUGUUCCCUUUUAUGGAAUCACGGUUUCCAC